UGUGUAGCUGCAGCUAGCGUGUACUAUGCUGUGCUACUUCGUUGUUGGUUGUAAAACAGGAAAUAGAAAAUGAUGCAGUUCAGCAUUAUUGUUGGAAAGAGGGACAUAAUACUGCUGUUUAUCUUCUGCCAUCCUUCUUGUUAAGCAUUGCCUUAUGAAGACCAAGUCUGGGUACUUGGCUCCACGAUGUGAAACAUUCCGUGAACGUUGUGCUUCAUCAACCUCCCAGGCAUUCCGUUAGCUCGGCCCCGCAUGGAGAAAGACAGAGAGAGAGACACCGAGAGGGAGAGAAUGUCAGUGUUCUCAUUCCCCCAGCGCUUCCAGCUGUUUAACAACCAACACUCUACUUAACAAACGAGAGGUCUCUUUCUCUACCCCUACAGCCCCAGGUUAUAUCAGCUGUUUUGGUGAACCCCUCCCACAUCUGAACUGGCUGACAGAGGGCACAGCAUGAUCAUAGGUAUUUUUUGAUGUGAGAGAGGAAGCCAGUCCCGUCAUCGCCACCUCACCCGCUCUUAAGAUAACCUUUGGGACAACUGGGGGCCCAAGGCUGGUUAGGAGACACCGCAAUUGUGAUGAACUGAGAGAAUAUUAGGGUAACACUGUAAUUCAUGAAUCAUAUGCUGUCUGCCGCUGUUCUUACCUCUUUCCCUUUCUGUCUUCUACACCUCUCUCCGAACCUUGUCUUUCUUCCUCAUUUCAUAAUGCACACCAUAUGUGCAUUGAAGUACAGACUGAACUUAUGUUUUAUUUAAUAUUACAAAUAUUAUAAUUAUAAUGCAUUUAUGUAUUUAUAACACCUUGAUAAUUAACUUAUUUCAAUAAAAUGUUUCACAUUCUCCACUGGUUGAAUUUAAGUAUCUCAUUGAAAUACUAUCCUGUGUCCUCAGAUUAAUGCAGAUGAAGGGAGUUAGAUAUGUAUAUAUGAAUUACAAUAGUUACAAUGUGUAAUCAUUGAUGUCCCAGGAGCAGGAGUGGUAAACACUGUUGAAGUGUAAAAUUGUAAUACAUACAUGCAGACACAGCAACAUUCAAAUAAUCGAGUUUGAUAUGACUGAAAAAUAAUGUCUCAGAGAUUCAUACCUGAACCACACCUUUAUUUGCCAAGGAAGAGUACAUGAUCAGUAAAUAUAUUCAAUGUACAUGCUACAAUGUGGGGAUCG